GCCUGGCUGGCUCAGUCAGAAGAGCAUCUGACUCCUGAUCUCAGGGUCAUGAGUUCAAGCCCCAUGUUGGGUA
rnacentral:tRNA from 1 species